UGGGGAAUAUUGGACAAUGGGGGGAACCCUGAUCCAGCCAUGCCGCUUGUGUGAAGAAGGCCUUAUGGUUGUAAAGCACUUUAAGCGAGGAGGAGGCUCUCUUGGUUAAUACCCAAGAAGAGUGGACGUUACUCGCAGAAAAAGCACCGGCUAACUCUGUGCCAGCAGCCGCGGUAAUACAGAGGGUGCGAGCGUUAAUCGGAUUUACUGGGCGUAAAGCGUGCGUAGGCGGCUUUUUAAGUCGGAUGUGAAAUCCCCGAGCUUAACUUGGGAAUUGCAUUCGAUACUGGGAAGCUAGAGUAUGGGAGAGGAUGGUAGAAUUCCAGGUGUAGCGGUGAAAUGCGUAGAGAUCUGGAGGAAUACCGAUGGCGAAGGCAGCCAUCUGGCCUAAUACUGACGCUGAGGUACGAAAGCAUGGGGAGCAAACAGG
rnacentral:rRNA from 1 species